UCGGAGUCUGCAACCCGACUCCGUGAAGCUGGAUUCGCUAGUAAUCGCGCAUCAGCCAUGGCGCGGUGAAUACGUUCCCGGGCCUUGUACACACCGCCCGUCAAGCCAUGGGAGCCGGGAGCGCUUGAAGUGCGUCGCCGCGAGGCGCGCCCUAGAGCGAGACCGGUGACUGGGGCUAAGUCGUAACAAGGUAAC
rnacentral:rRNA from 1 species